GCUCAUUUGAAUGGGUCAGAAAUUGAACUGGCGAAGUGUCUUCAAGAAGGUUGCGGUUAGCCAUGAGAACCAGCGCGUCGGUGUGUUCUACUGUGGUGAGCCUGUGCUGGUUCCACAGCUAAGCCAGUUGUCAGCAGAUUUCACCCACA